rnacentral:lncRNA from 1 species
AUGCAUUUUUUCUUUCCAGUACACAUCAAAUAACAACUUUUCUUGAAUACCCAUUUGAUUCUAGAACAGGAAAGUAAGGAAUAUUAUGUUACAAAAUGGGUAGUAAAAGUCAACAUCUUGAGAAGUUUGACAUUUUAUGAAUAGCACCAUCCUUUUAUUACAUACAGGGAUCAUUCCAACGAUUUGGUAAGUCGCUCUAUUUUUUCUACAUAUGCAAUCUUUUAGGUUUAUUAGUGCAUUGGUUCUUUAAUUGGAGUCAAUUUUCGCACUUUUUAGCACUUAAUUAUAUAUAUUCCUAUGUUAGAUCUAUGUAUCUGUUGAAAGGGUGAAGUAUAAGGUUCAAUAAAUGAUUGUCUCAGUUUUUUUGGUACAUUCUUAGGUCUUGCAUGAAGGUAGUGUUGAUAUCUGAAGAGGAUGGAGAAGAGGGGACUUGUGUUUGUUUUUGUGAAGUGAAUCUAUAAAGCACAAUUGAGCUAGGGACUUGUGUUUAUUUUUGUCAAGAUUCUUACACAGAUGUGUUAGUUUAUAGAAGGAUUAAUGUGCCGUAGUUUUGUACCACUAUAUUUGUUAAUUUACCUUUUGUUAUAUUUUUUUGUUUACUUUUAUUCUUAGGGUUUCUUGAAUAUUUGUUCUAGGUUUCAUGUUUGGCUGAAUUCAAGAAGUUCGAGAGACUAGACCUCACCUUCAAUAAUCUGUUGUCACACGAGGUUGAAGGAGCUGUGUUGGAAGAUGGACGUACUUGCAGCAUUUGGGACAAAUUUGCACAUGAAAUUAAAUAAUAAUACGACAUCGUUUUCGUUCAGCUGUUUAGUUGGAACUUGUAGUCGACUCAUUCAGGUGUUUGGAUGUGUGUUUUCGGUUUGAAGUAUAAUUUCCUAAUGAGUUGUCCUCAAUGGGACAUUAUGGUGUUAACUGGUGUGCUCACAACCAACCAAAAGCUAGGAGUUGUUCAAAACUUUUUUACUAAUGUUUUGGAUCCAAAAAAUGGCCUUUAGCUAUUUGUGUUGGGUUUGGAUUGACGACCACCCCGUUUUCCACCCACCAAACCAUUUAAAUUC